rnacentral:rRNA from 1 species
ACGUAGGGUCCGAGCGUUGUCCGGAAUUAUUGGGCGUAAAGAGCUCGUAGGCGGUUUGUCGCGUCUGCUGUGAAAUCUAGAGGCUCAACCUCUAGCCUGCAGUGGGUACGGGCAGACUUGAGUGGUGUGGGGGAGACUGGAAUUCCUGGUGUAGCGGUGGAAUGCGCAGAUAUCAGGAGGAACACCGAUGGCGAAGGCAGGUCUCUGGGCACUUACUGACGCUGAGGAGCGAAAGCGUGGGGAGCGAACAGGA